rnacentral:ncRNA from 2 species
UCGCAACGCUAGGGGUCCUGGCAGCCAGUGCAUCGGCAGCCGGGUGAGAAAUACCCUUGAACCUGAUCUGGAUAAUGCCAGCGAAGGGAAGCAAUCGGCAGCACGA